rnacentral:rRNA from 1 species
AGAGUUUGAUCCUGGCUCAGAUUGAACGCUGGCGGCAUGCUUUACACAUGCAGGUCGAACGGAUUUUGGAGCUUGCUCCAGAGUUAGUGGCGAACGGGUGAGUAAUAUAUCGGAACGUACCCGGCAAUGGGGGAUAACGUAGCGAAAGUUACGCUAAUACCGCAUAUGCCCUGAGGGGGAAAGCAGGGGACCAGUAAUGGCCUUGCGUUGUCGGAGCGGCCGAUAUCGGAUUAGCUAGUUGGUGAGGUAAAGGCUCACCAAGGCGACGAUCCGUAGCAGGUCUGAGAGGAUGAUCUGCCACACUGGGACUGAGACACGGCCCAGACUCCUACGGGAGGCAGCAGUGGGGAAUUUUGGACAAUGGGCGAAAGCCUGAUCCAGCCAUGCCGCGUGAGUGAAGAAGGCCUUCGGGUUGUAAAGCUCUUUCAGCCGGAAAGAAAACGCACUUCCUAAUACGGAGUGUGGAUGACGGUACCGGAAGAAGAAGCACCGGCUAACUAUGUGCCAGCAGCCGCGGUAAUACGUAGGGUGCGAGCGUUAAUCGGAAUUACUGGGCGUAAAGCGUGCGCAGGCGGUUUUGUAAGUCAGAUGUGAAAUCCCCGAGCUCAACUUGGGAACUGCGUUUGAAACUACAAGACUAGAAUAUGUCAGAGGGGGGUAGAAUUCCACGUGUAGCAGUGAAAUGCGUAGAGAUGUGGAGGAAUACCAAUGGCGAAGGCAGCCCCCUGGGAUAAUAUUGACGCUCAUGCACGAAAGCGUGGGGAGCAAACAGGAUUAGAUACCCUGGUAGUCCACGCCCUAAACGAUGUCUACUAGUUGUUGGUGGAGUAAAAUCCAUGAGUAACGCAGCUAACGCGUGAAGUAGACCGCCUGGGGAGUACGGUCGCAAGAUUAAAACUCAAAGGAAUUGACGGGGGCCCGCACAAGCGGUGGAUUAUGUGGAUUAAUUCGAUGCAACGCGAAAAACCUUACCUGGCCUUGACAUGUAACGAACUUUCCAGAGAUGGAUUGGUGCUCGAAAGAAAACGUUAACACAGGUGCUGCAUGGCUGUCGUCAGCUCGUGUCUUGAGAUGUUGGGUAAAGUCCCGCAACGAGCGCAACCCUUGCCAUUAAUUGCCAUCAUUUAGUUUGGGCCUUUAAUGAAACUGCCGGGGAUAACCCGAAGGAAGUGGGGAUAACGUCAAGCCUCAUGGGCCUAAUGGGUAGGG